rfam:Eucalyptus grandis cultivar BRASTZ1 unplaced genomic scaffold scaffold_3440, whole genome shotgun sequence.
GGGUGCGAUCAUUCCAGGACUAAUGCACCGGAUCCCAUCAGAACUCCGAAGUUAAGCGUGCUUGGGCAAGAGUAGUACUAGCAUCGGUGACCUCCUGGGAAGUCCUCGUGUUGCACCCC